CUCUCUCGCCUCACGCCCACGACCUCGUCUCUCACUUGACUCGUCUCUCUCGACCCGUCUCCCCAACUCGAAGCCUCUUGCGCGGCGCAGAUGCCGGUGACCGCCUGCGGCGCCUGCGCGGCUGCCUUCCCCUCCUCCCGCCACGCCCGUAGCCCUCCGCCGACUUCCGGGAGCUUCCGGAAGCUCGUACCGCUAACCCCCAGGCGGCUAGGGCUCCGGCUUCCUGCUCCGAUGGCCUCGACCGUCGACUCGCCGGGGAACUCCUCCAACUUCGCCAAGCGCAUGGAACGCGCUUGGCUCAUCUCCAAGCAACCAAGACCGACUUCGUGUUCAUCUUGUCAAUCCACUGGUGAUGUAGAGUGCAAGUGGUGUGCAGGCACAGGCUUUUUCAUCCUUGGCAACAACAUGUUGUGUGAAGUACCCUCGAAAAAUACAAGAUGCGUGAUUUGCUCUGGAAAGGGCUUUGCAAGUUGUGCUGAUUGCAAAGGAACUGGGUUUCGCGCCAAGUGGCUUGAAGAACCCCCUAUCAACAAAUGAAUAGUGGAAGUCAACCAUACUAUAAACUUUACUAUUUUACAGUGAGCUUGGCAACUUCAGGAGCACUUGGCCUGUCUACAGAUGAUCAAGUUCCACUGCCUUUUGCCAUCUGAUGAUCAAUCAAAAUUUGCAAAAAAGCAAAGAGGUGGACAAAAGAAAGAACAAGAAUAAUACUACAAAGUGAUUCUGGAAGAUGGACAAAUGGAAGAUUGAAGAAAAGAUACUCCAUACUGAUUCUGAAGAUGGUAAGCUAAACUACUAGUUAUGAUUUUACAGUCCCUCCUCCAUCUACUACUUCAAGUGCAUGCUCUACAACUUCAGUUACGAGCUCACUCUCCCAACCAAAAAAAGGACUCAAAUUUAUAUACUGAAAAAGGAGUAUUUUUUUGGUUUUCUUACUGCAAUAGAGACUUGGAUGAAAAGGAUGGCCACUUUGGGAGAUUUGUCAUGCACUCAGUACACCCUCGGCAUGCUCCAUUAGCUCAAUCACAGAGGUUCCAAUAGCUUGUCAAUUAGGAAUCUUGAUAUGUUGUCGGAAUUUGUGUUAGCAUACUGCAAAUAGUGAUGCAUGAUUGGAUCUGUGUCUGGUGUUUGUUUGCUAUGUCCAGAUCAACAAUAACAAAAGAGCACUAGUCCAUAUGCUGUAGCACGUAUUCAACAAACCCCACUGGGAAAUGAUAGGCCAUUUGAUGCAUGAGGGGUGCCUAAAACUGCUACGAAGAAAAUAAAGCUGUGUUGUGGAAUAAUUUUAUU